AUACGGAGGGUGCAAGCGUUAUCCGGAUUUAUUGGGUUUAAAGGGUGCGCAGGCGGACCUGUCAGUCAGUGGUGAAAUCCCGGGGCUCAACCCCGGAACUGCCAUUGAUACUACAGGUCUUGAAUACGGUUGAAGUAGGCGGAAUGUAGCAUGUAGCGGUGAAAUGCAUAGAUAUGCUACAGAACACCGAUCGCGAAGGCAGCUUACUAAGCCGAUAUUGACGCUCAGGCACGAAAGCGUGGGGAGCAAACAGGAUUAGAAACCCCAGUAGUCC
rnacentral:rRNA from 1 species